AGAGACUUAGGUUAAACUAGACCAAAGGCCUUCAAAGCCUUAAGCAGAGGUUAAAAUCCUCUAGUUUCUG
rnacentral:tRNA from 1 species